GAUGAACGCUGGCGGCGUGCCUAAUACAUGCGAGUCGAGCGAACAGACGAGGAGCUUGCUCCUCUGACGUUAGCGGCGGACGGGCGAGUAACACGUGGAUAACCUACCUAUAAGACUGGGAUAACUUCGGGAAACCGGAGCUAAUACCGGAUAAUAUAUUGAACCGCAUGGUUCAAUAGUGAAAGACGGUUUUGCUGUCACUUAUAGAUGGAUCCGCGCCGCAUUAGCUAGUUGGUAAGGUAACGGCUUACCAAGGCAACGAUGCGUAGCCGACCUGAGAGGGUGAUCGGCCACACUGGAACUGAGACACGGUCCAGACUCCUACGGGAGGCAGCAGUAGGGAAUCUUCCGCAAUGGGCGAAAGCCUGACGGAGCAACGCCGCGUGAGUGAUGAAGGUCUUCGGAUCGUAAAACUCUGUUAUUAGGGAAGAACAAAUGUGUAAGUAACUAUGCACGUCUUGACGGUACCUAAUCAGAAAGCCACGGCUAACUACGUG
rnacentral:rRNA from 1 species